rnacentral:rRNA from 1 species
AAAACUAGGAUUAGAUACCCUAUUAUUUUUGAUGUUAAUUAUUAUUAAGGUAUUAAUAGAUAUGUUCUUUAAAUUUAAUAAAUUUGGCGGUGUUUUAUUCCUAUUAGAGGAACUUGUUCAAUAAUCGAUAAUCCUCGUUUUAUUUUACUUAAUUUUAUUAGUUUGUAUAUCGCCGUUAUAAGUUUAUUUUUUUAGAAUUUUAAUUUACUAAUAACUUUAUUAGGUUAUAUUUCAGGUCAAGGUGCAGCUUAUAUUUAAGUAUGAAUUAGUUACAUUUUUAUUUAAAUAAAUGGAUUUAUUGUUUAAAUAUAGUAAUGAAAGUGGAUUUAAUAGUAAUUUUUAUUAUUUAAUUUAUUUGAUUUUGGUUUUAAAAUGAGUACACAUCG